rnacentral:rRNA from 1 species
GAUGAACGCUGGCGGCGUGCCUAAUACAUGCAAGUCGAGCGAACAGACGAGGAGCUUGCUCCUCUGACGUUAGCGGCGGACGGGUGAGUAACACGUGGAUAACCUACCUAUAAGACUGGGAUAACUUCGGGAAACCGGAGCUAAUACCGGAUAAUAUAUUGAACCGCAUGGUUCAAUAGUGAAAGACGGUUUUGCUGUCACUUAUAGAGGGAUCCGGGCCGCAUUAGCUAGUUGGGAAGGUAACGGCUUACCACGGCGAGGAUGCGUAGCCGACCUGAGAGGGUGUUAGGCGACACUGGAAGUGGACCACCGUCCAGACUCCUACGGGAGGCCGCAGUAGGCUAUCUGCCGCAAUGGGCGAGAGCCUUACGGAGCAAGGCGGCGUGAGUGAUGAAGGCCUUCGGAUCGGAAAACUGUGUUAUUAGGGAUGAACAAAUGUGUAAGUAACUGUGCACGUAUUGACGGUACCUGGUCAGAAAGCAACGGCUAACUACGUG